rnacentral:rRNA from 1 species
AGAGAGAGACAUGCGCGCAUAUCAAUAAGCGGAGGAAAAGAAACUAACUAGGAUUCCCUCAGUAACGGCGAGUGAAGCGGGAAGAGCUCAAAUUUGAAAUCUUCAAGGUUCUACCUUGACGAAUUGUAGUUUAAAGAAGUGUUUUCUGUUGGAGUUUUGGUAAAAGUUCUUUGGAAUAGGACAUCAUAGAGGGUGAGAAUCCCGUAUUUGACCAUUAUUUUCCAGCUUUGUGAUACACUUUCAAAGAGUCGGAUUGUUUGGGAAUGCAGUCCAAAAUGGGUGGUAAAUUUCAUCUAAAGCUAAAUACUUGGCGAGAGACCGAUAGCGAACAAGUACCGUGAGGGAAAGAUGAAAAGAACUUUGAAAAGAGAGUUAAACAGUACGUGAAAUUGUCAAAAGGGAAGCGUUUGACACCAGUGUUGUUUUCUCGAAAAUCAAUUAAAAAAGGCAGGAUUUUGUGUUGUAUUGACUUUAUCAGCUUUCUGCACUCUUUUCUUGUCUUUUUUAGAUGCACUUUUCGUUUAACAAGUCAACAUCAAUUUCUUUUGUUGUAAAAGGGUCCAUUGGAAGGUGGCUUUCUUUUCGGAGAAAGUGUUUAUAGCCUUUGGCCUCUGCAAUCGGAGAGAUUGAGGUCUGCAGCGUAGAUCCUUCGGGGUUAGAUACAUUUGUGCUAAGUUGAUAGCCUUUCAUAGACAACUUGUUGACUAUGAUCAGUCAUGUAGCUUACUCGCUUAUGCUAUUUUACCUACGCUUAGGAUGUUGAUGUGAUACUGCGAGCA